UUGGCGGGCCCGCGGGGAGGCGCGGCCCGAGCUGGGAGGCCUGGCGUCGGCCCCGCCGGGAGGGAGGCUGCCCCUUUUGUCAGAGUCUCCGAGCCAUGUUCGCGGGCGGUGCCGUUGCCGAGGCGGCAGCGGCGCCGGGCUGGGUGCGCUCAUCUGGGAAGACGCCGUCCCCUGCCCCGCCGGCGCGGUGGUAUCUCCCUUAAAGAAGCCAGCGCCUCAUUGUUCGUGGGCCGCGGCCGCCGGGAGUCGGGGGCGCCCAGCCCGGCGCGUGGAGGAAGGGACAGUGGCGCCCGCGCCUGGCCGCUGUCGCCCGCGCACGUCCUGCUUGACGGCCGCCCCCGCGGGCGCGCGGCGAGAGGCGGCGGUCGGAGCCGGUGGGGCCGGGGUUGGCAGAGGACACGGCGGCGCUCUCGGGCCGACGGGCAGCCCGGUCACUGGGCCCGCCGACCGCCGUCAGCCUGCUCUCGGCGCGCAUUCGCCUGGCCAGCCCGGGGCUGUCAGUUACUCCGGGACCAGAACCAAUCCGUCACUCAGUUAGUCACACGGAUGAUAAGAAUGGAAUCAUGAAAGAGAAGAAACUGGUCAAGAAAGGGAAGGUGGACAGGUCCAGAUCCCAACUGAUUGGGGGAAAGGUACGAUGAUCAGCUCAAAACCCCAACAUAAGGCAAGG